rnacentral:rRNA from 1 species
UUUGGUGACGAUACGUUUAGUGGAAACACCCGUUUCCAUAUCGAACACGAUGGUUAAGCAUUAGACGGCCGAAGGUACUUAUUUGGAGACGAAUAGGAAGAAUAGGUGGUUGCCAAAU